UACAGAGGGUGCGAGCGUUAAUCGGAAUUACUGGGCGUAAAGCGCACGUAGAUGGCUUUGUAAGUCAGAUGUGAAAUCCCCGGGCUCAACCUGGGAACUGCAUUUGAAACUGCAUUGCUCGAAUGUGGAAGAGGGAAGCGGAAUUCCAGGUGUAGCGGUGAAAUGCGUAGAUAUCUGGAGGAACAUCAGUGGCGAAGGCGGGUUGCUGGGCUGACACUGACGCUGAGGCGCGAAAGCUAGGGGAGCGAACAGG
rnacentral:rRNA from 1 species